rnacentral:lncRNA from 1 species
AGACGAGUUGCAUUUUGCUAGAUAGGGGAAGGAGGGCUGUCUGCUGUCUGGUAGGAGGGCUUUGUCUGCCUUUCUCUCUCUCUCUCUCCUCUCUCUCUCUCUCUCUCUCUCUCUCUCUCUCUCUCUCUCUCUCUCUCUCUCUCUCUGUUUUCUGUUUUUCUCUCUGUCUGUCUCUCCUCUCACUCGCUUGCUCUGUCUCUGUCUCUCUCUCUCCCUCUUCCCCCUCCCUCUCUUGCUUUCUCUCCCUUCCCGUCUCUGUGGUUUGUAAGGUAGGUUGCAGUGUGUGUAUAUACACAACAUCAAGAGCAGGAAAAUGGACUCAUUAGGGAGGCAGGCAGUCAUUACCACUCACACUGUACUUCCAGGGAGACACCGAUUAUGAGAAGAGAAACUCAGUGCUGGGGAACAAGUUUCACAGAAAAAAAAGUGUUAAGAAUUGUUCUUAACCGCUUCAGACUCCAGAGCGCGAAGGUAAUAUUCAUGGAAUAUUCUUUACCAUAUAUGAAUGUCUUCAAAUGUUGUAUGAUGUUUGGGGUCCUUCAUUCCUUAUCUCAUACUGAACAAGCCUUUGGCAAGGUACCCUCAUUGACUAUGUCUACUAGUCAGAAUAAUCGUAAUAUCUAUUAUAAAUGUUUUAAGGCUUGCAAAACAUGCUCCAUAUAUUAUCUAAUUUCAGUAUCUAUAAUCCUCAAAGGAACACAUUUAACAAUUUCUUGAGUAUUUCCUUAUUCCAUCUCUUCUUUGGAAUAGCUCUGUCUUUCUUCUUAUUUUCAUUAAUUUAGGACUCUUAUACAUUUAUACCUUAUUUAUUUUCAUUUAAAUGGAAAUGUUGGCAUGGGACCAGGGCUGUGCUGGAGCCAGCUCUAACAGGCUUACAAGAUGUGAUUGUUAAAUUUUCAGCGUAUACAUUUACCCCUCUGAAAUCAGCAGUCAGUACAAAUCAAGGCUUGU